rnacentral:misc_RNA from 1 species
GAUGAAGAACGCAGCGAAAUGCGAUACGUAAUGUGAAUUGCAGAAUUCAGUGAAUCAUCGAAUCUUUGAACGCAUAUUGCGCUCUCUGGUAUUCCGGAGAGCAUGCUUGUUUGAGUAUCAGUAAACACCUCAACUCUUUUUUCUUUUUUGAAAUUGGAGCUGGACUUGAGUGAUCCCAACGCUUUCUUCCAAGAAAGUGGCGGGUUGCUUGAAAUGCAGGUGCAGCUGAACUUUUCUCUGAGCUAUAAGCAUAUCUAUUUAGUCUGCCUAAAAAACAGAUCAUUACCUUUGCUGCAGCUAACAUAAAGGAGACUAGUUCUUGUGCUGACUGAUGCAGGAUUCACAGAGACAGCUUCGGCUGACUUUGUAAACUCGAUCUCAAAUCAAGUAAGACUACCCGCUGAACUUAAGCAUAUCAAUAAGCGGAGGA